UUCUACUGCUCAAGGUUUUCCCAACCUUGUUACUCCCUGGUAACACAAUUAAUCUACGCAAGAGAGUACAGCAGAGGCAAGAGGGAGGGUGUCCUCACGCUGUUUUGCAACACUGCGCAUCUGAAGUUCCUCAGCUGUGCUAAGAGGAAGUGGUUAUUCGGUUUUGCUACCAUUUCAGGAAGGAUAAAGCUCCAGUAAACUUUCCCUGAGAGUCACCUGGAAACCACAGAAGUAAAAAUUAAUAUUUGCCUGCUGCCUGUCCGAGGAGGUGCCACCAGGAGGAAACUUAUGACAAGGCUGCAGCCACUGUUCUGUAGGAUCUUCACGUGCUCUGGACUCUCACAUCUCUUCCUCUUUCAACAUGAUCACCCAGUGAAGAGCAUCCCAGACAAAUGAAUCCUGGUAACUUGGAGGCUCUUGUUUAAAGAGACAUGAAGAGCAGAUGAUCACCAUGGACCUUAUUAAUGAAUUUUGCAAUUGCAGUAAAUGGAAAGACUUUUAUAUCUUCCCUCUCCUGCCAUUGAUGGGUACAUUUUGCCAGAUGUUGACACAUUUCUGCUGUGGAUGCUAAUUUGCGUUGAAGUUGGUGAGUUUCAUCAGUCAGUGAACGGCACAAAACAUCGCUGGUGGCCUGAGCCUUCUCUCUUUC